rnacentral:tRNA from 1 species
GCCUUGCUGGCGCAAUCGGUNNCGUGUGACUCUUAAUCACAAGGUUAGGGGUUCGAGCCCCCUGCAGGGCU